rnacentral:rRNA from 1 species
GAUGAACGCUGGCGGCGUGCCUAAUACAUGCAAGUCGAGCGAACAGACGAGGAGCUUGCUCCUCUGACGUUAGCGGCGGACGGGUGAGUAACACGUGGAUAACCUACCUAUAAGACUGGGAUAACUUCGGGAAACCGGAGCUAAUACCGGAUAAUAUAUUGAACCGCAUGGUUCAAUAGUGAAAGACGGUUUUGCUGUCACUUAUAGAUGGAUCCGCGCCGCAUUAGCUAGUUGGUAAGGUAACGGCUUACCAAGGCAACGAUGCGUAGCCGACCUGAGAGGGUGAUCGGCCACACUGGAACGGAGACACGGUCCAGACUCCUACGGGAGGCAGCAGUAGGGAAUAUUCCGCAAUGGGCGAAAGCCUGACGGAGCAACGCCGCGUGAGUGAUGAAGGUCUUCGGAUCGUAAAACUCUGUUAUUAGGGAAGAACAAAUGUGUAAGUAACUAUGCACGUCUUGACGGUACCUAAUCAGAAAGCCACGGCCAACUACGUG